rnacentral:lncRNA from 1 species
GUUACUAUCAUUGUCCCACUUUAUAGAGAGCUCUGGGGUUAUAGGCAUGAGCCACCGUGCCCGGCCCAGCUAAGCCUUGAAGGAUGAGAGGAAACCAGAGUUCAUCAGGAGGAGGCUGGGGAAAGCUAGGGCCCGGCACACAGUGCACAAGGGCCAGCAGUGAUGUGAGGAAUGCCAGGGCCGAGCUCACAGAGGAAGCGAGGCGGCAGAGCUCCAUGCUCCACCUCCAGGGUCUCAGUGCCUUUUUUCCUGUGCAAAGUCGAUAUCCACUGAGAGACUUCAGCGUUUGCCCCUAAGGCUCAGAUAGGCCACAGUGAUUUUUACUGACCUAUUUGUAAUAAUUUUAGAUGGCACUCUGAUCAGGAAGAUUGUGGUUUUGCAAACACAGAGGGUUCUUACAUCACUAUUAUAUGGGGAGCCCUUCUUUCCUCUGGAAUCCAAACUGAUAAGCGGCAUGUUUGUUGGUCUACGGGAGGAUUAUGGGCUCCGUAGUUUUUUUCCUUUGGUUUGAUUGGAAUGCUUUAGAUGAGUCUUGGGGUGUCAGAGCCUAGAGGCCUCAUCAGGGACCAUCCCCUGCUUUAAAUCGGUCUUUCAUGUGGCAGGGUUGACCAGCAGGGCAUGGGCACAUUCAUCAAUAUUUGCUAGAGCGGCGGGGCCAUUGUGGCACACGCACAACACCAGGUUCACAGGCACAAAUCAUGUGAAAGCAAAUUCAUCUUUCUUCUGACGGGGCCACUAGACUGGUAGGUCAAGGAAAUGCUGGAGCCACAGUGGUUGCAUCUGGCACAGUCUCUCGUGAUGAUAUCCUUGUGUACAAAAUAAAGGCAUGUGGGCCAGAGGUGGUUGGGGUGGCCGUUCCCUGGCAGGUCCAGGGAAUACACCCAACAAAGGCUGGUCUAAGCCAUGGCCAGCAGCGGCUUUCACAGACACUUCUGGUGCUGAGCUGCGAGCCUUAACUGUGUCCUGCUCAGUGGUAAACCACACGUUUUGAAGGACAGUCAGGAUCAGGAGCCGAAAGGGCCUCACAGCACAGGUUAGAAGAAAAGGCUGAACAAGACAGAAGGCCAUUUUAUUUUCUAAUUUUUAUUUAUUUUUCAUUGUAUAUUUUUAAGGCAUGCAACAUGAUGUUUUGAUAUAUGUAUGCAUAGUGAAGUGAAUGCCACAGUCCAGCCAGUUAACAUAUCUGCUAUCUCAUGUCAUCACCGUCUUUUGCAAUAAAAGUGCCUAAAAUUGACUCUCUUGCCAAAUAUCCAGAGUAUAAAAUACAAUAUUCUUAUCUAUUAAUGUCUACAAUAUUAUUAUCAUAUUGUAUUAGAAUGACAUUUUAAAAGGUUAAAUAAAAAGGCUCUUCACUUGGGCUCAAAGAAUUAACUGCACUAGUACCCCAAGGGUGCCAUGGCGCUUAGUAGCAGUGAGGAUGACGAGAAUCCAGGGCUUAGGGCAGGAGGUGGUUUUCAUAUGUUUGUUCCGUCCAUCUUUGGCUACAUUAUGGUGGAAUAUUUCCUAGAAUGCUGCACUGCCUCGCCUUCUCUGGGCUAGGGUAACCACUUUUGGAGUACUGGCAUUCAGUUUUAGGCAUCAUAUUUAAGAAGACAAAGACAGAAUAGACCCAAAGCACAGGGACCAGAUUGCAAAAGGCCCUGACACUGCCUCCAGAAGAAUGACAGAGAACCUAGAGGGUUCACAGCUACUAUCGACUCUGAGGACCAAGGAAAACAGGGCAAAGCUUGUGUUGUAAGACUACAAGGGCAGAAGUGGGGUGGAAACUAAGAAAUUCUCCAGCAUUCAGAGCUGUCCAAGGCAGGAUGGGCUGUCCUGGGAAGCAAUGAGAUCUCAUCACUCAGAAGCUUGGAAGUAAACUGGGCCUGCACCUGCUGCAUGUGGAAACAGUGCUUUAAGUAUUUUAGGGCUGGUUUGUCUGGGCCAUUCCUCCAAACCCUGGGAUUCUAUGAGUCCAUGACGAGUCAAGAAACUGAGGAUCUAACCUUAGCUUUGCCACAAACUAUCUUAGUGACCUUAAGCAGAACAUUUCAAUCCUCUCCAUCUCAUUUUUAUCCUCUGCUAAAAUAAGAAGUUGGACAGGAUUCCCUACAAUGUUUCAUUAAUUCAUAUAUUCUACCACCUUUAUCACCAUGUGCUGCAGUCUCUGCAAAGUGCUGAUAGUUUGUGAUCUCCUCCUUCUUUCAUGUACACCAAGAAAGGGGUUUAGGAGAUAAUGUCUUAACUGACAUUGUAAGACCUGCAC